rnacentral:rRNA from 1 species
UACGGGGGGGAGCAAGCGUUGUUCGGAUUUACUGGGCGUAAAGGGCGCGUAGGCGGCCACCGCAAGUCAAUUGUGAAAUCUCCGGGCUUAACUCGGAAAGGUCAACUGAUACUGCGGGGCUAGAGUGCGGAAGGGGCAACUGGAAUCUCGGUGUAGCGGUGAAAUGCGUAGAUAUCGAGAGGAACACCUGCGGCGAAGGCGGGUUGCUGGGCCGACACGUGACGCUGAGGCACGAAGGCCAGGGGAGCAAACGGG